rnacentral:lncRNA from 1 species
UUACUUUCUUAUAAUUGAUAUCAUGAAGUCUAGCGAAGUAUCCUUGUGAAUUCACAAAUUUUGGUGUGCAAUGAGAUGGCUAUAAUGUAAAUAGACUUCUUGCACUUUUUAAUCAACAAACAAUGGUAAAGCCGUAUUAGUUAAUGGUAGAAGAUUAACUAUGAGUAAGAAUAAAUGUCUCUUCACUAUACAUAGUAUUUUCAUAUAACUAUUAAAAAUGUGAAUAUUACAAGUUUACAAUUGGGCUUUGUUUAUUUUCAGUUUUUUAUUUUUAUUUUUUCCUCCUCUGAAACGAAGAAGGAAAUUAACUAGGUCAACUGGAAAACUAGAGAGGAAACACCAUAACUCUUGAUAGACGUUCCCGACAUUUUAUCUAUUGACAAGUUCAUCU